rnacentral:rRNA from 1 species
CAAGGAAUUUUGCGCAAUGGGCGAAAGCCUGACGCAGCGACACCGCGUGGGGGAAGAAGGCCUUCGGGUCGUAAACCCCUUUUCUCAGGGAAGAAAACUGACGGUACCUGAGGAAUAAGUCUCGGCUAACUACGUGCCAGCAGCCGCGGUAAUACGUAGGAGGCAAGCGUUAUCCGGAUUUACUGGGCGUAAAGAGGGCGUAGGCGGCUUUUCAAGUCGGAUGUAAAAUCUCUCGGCUUAACCGGGAGGGAUCACUCGAUACUGUUGAGCUAGAGGGCAGCAGAGGAAGACGGAAUUCCCGGUGGAGUGGUGAUAUGCGUAGAUAUCGGGAGGAACACCAGUGGCGAAGGCGGUCUUCUGGGCUGUUCCUGACGCUGAGGCCCAAAAGCGUGGGGAGCGAACAGG